rnacentral:rRNA from 1 species
UAGGGAAUCUUCGGCAAUGGACGAAAGUCUGACCGAGCAACGCCGCGUGAGUGAAGAAGGUUUUCGGAUCGUAAAACUCUGUUGUUAGAGAAGAACAAGGACGUUAGUAACUGAACGUCCCCUGACGGUAUCUAACCAGAAAGCCACGGCUAACUACGUGCCAGCAGCCGCUGUACUACGUAGGUGGCAAGCGUUUUCCGGAUUUAUUGGGCGUAAAGCGAGCGCAGGCGGUUUCUUAAGUCUGAUGUGAAAGCCACCGGCUCAACCGGGGAGGGGCAUUGGAAACUGUAGGACUUGAGUGCAGAAGAGGAGAGAGGAAUUCUAUGUGUAGCGGUGAAAUGCGUAGAUAUAUGGUGGAACAACAGUGGGGAAGGCGGCUAGCUGGUCUGUAACGGACGCUGAGGCUCGAAAGCGUGGGGAGCAAACAGG